rnacentral:rRNA from 1 species
UAAGGCUAAAUACUCUCUAGUGACCGAUAGUGAACCAGUACCGUGAGGGAAAGGUGAAAAGUACCCCGGAAGGGGAGUGAAAGAGAACUUGAAACCGUGUGCUUACAAGUAGUCAGAGCCCGUUAAUGGGUGAUGGCGUGCCUUUUGUAGAAUGAACCGGCGAGUUACGAUCUGAUGCAAGGUUAAGCAGAAAAUGUGGAGCCGUAGCGAAAGCGAGUCUGAAUAGGGCGAAUGAGUAUUUGGUCGUAGACCCGAAACCAGGUGAUCUACCCUUGGUCAGGUUGAAGUUCAGGUAACACUGAAUGGAGGACCGAACCGACUUACGUUGAAAAGUGAGCGGAUGAACUGAGGGUAGCGGAGAAAUUCCAAUCGAACUUGGAGAUAGCUGGUUCUCUCCGAAAUAGCUUUAGGGCUAGCCUCAAGUGAUGAUUAUUGGAGGUAGAGCACUGUUUGGACGAGGGGCCCCUCUCGGGUUACCGAAUUCAGACAAACUCCGAAUGCCAAAUAAUUUAACUUGGGAGUCAGAAUGUGGGUGAUAAGGUCCAUAUUCGAAAGGGAAACAGCCCAGACCACCAGCUAAGGUCCCAAAAUAUAUGUUAAGUGGAAAAGGAUGUGGCGUUGCCCAGACAACUAGGAUGUUGGCUUAGAAGCAGCCAUCAUUUAAAGAGUGCGUAAUAGCUCACUAGUCGAGUGACACUGCGCCGAAAAUGUACCGGGGCUAAACAUAUUACCGAAGCUGUGGAUUGUCCUUUGGACAAUGGUAGGAGAGCGUUCUAAGGGCGUUGAAGCAUGAUCGCAAGGACAUGUGGAGCGCUUAGAAGUGAGAAUGCCGGUGUGAGUAGCGAAAGACGGGUGAGAAUCCCGUCCACCGAUUGACUAAGGUUUCCAGAGGAAGGCUCGUCCGCUCUGGGUUAGUCGGGUCCUAAGCUGAGGCCGACAGGCGUAGGCGAUGGAUAACAGGUUGAUAUUCCUGUACCACCAUUAUUCGUUUUAAGCGAUGGGGGGACGCAGUAGGAUAGGCGAAGCGUGCUGUUGGAGUGCACGUCCAAGCAGUGAGAUUGAGUGUUAGGCAAAUCCGGCACUCUUAAGAUUGAGCUGUGAUGGGGAGAGGAACUUGUUCCUCGAGUCGUUGAUUUCACACUGCCGAGAAAAGCCUCUAGCUAGAAUAACGGUGCCCGUACCGCAAACCGACACAGGUAGUCAAGAUGAGAAUUCUAAGGUGAGCGAGCGAACUCUCGUUAAGGAACUCGGCAAAAUGACCCCGUAACUUCGGGAGAAGGGGUGCUCUUUGAGGUUCACGCUUCGAAGAGCCGCAGUGAAUAGGCCCAAGCGACUGUUUAUCAAAAACACAGGUCUCUGCUAAACCGUAAGGUGACGUAUAGGGGCUGACGCCUGCCCGGUGCUGGAAGGUUAAGAGGAGUGGUUAGCGCAAGCGAAGCUACGAAUCGAAGCCCCAGUAAACGGCGGCCGUAACUAUAACGGUCCUAAGGUAGCGAAAUUCCUUGUCGGGUAAGUUCCGACCCGCACGAAAGGCGUAACGAUUUGGGCACUGUCUCAACGAGAGACUCGGUGAAAUCAUAGUACCGGUGAAGAUGCCGGUUACCCGCGACAGGACGGAAAGACCCCGUGGAGCUUUACUGUAGCCUGAUAUUGAAAUUCGGUACAGUUUGUACAGGAUAGGUAGGAGCCUUAGAAGCGUGAGCGCUAGCUUACGUGGAGGCAUUGGUGGGAUACUACCCUAAUUGUAUUGGAUUUCUAACCCGCAGCACUUAUCGUGCUGGGAGACAGUGUCAGGCGGGCAGUUUGACUGGGGCGGUCGCCUCCUAAAGAGUAACGGAGGCGCUCAAAGGUUCCCUCAGAAUGGUUGGAAAUCAUUCAUAGAGUGUAA